rnacentral:rRNA from 1 species
AUUGAACGCUGGCGGCAGGCCUAACACAUGCAAGUCGAGCGAGCGGCGGACGGGGGAGUAAUGUAUGGGGACUGCCCGCUAGAGGGGGAGAACUACUGGAAACGGUGGCUAAUACCGCAUACUAUCGGAUAACCCAUAUGGGAUUAGCUAGUAGGUAAGGUAAUGGCUUACCGAGGCGACGAUCCCUAGCUGGUCUGAGAGGAUGAUCAGCCAAACUGGGACUGGGACCCGGCCCAGACUCCUACGGAGGCAGCAGUGGGGAAUAUUGCAAAAUGGGCGCAAGCCUGAUGCAGCCAUGCCGCGUGUAUGAGGAAGGCCCUGGUGUUGUAAAGUACUUUCAGUCGGGAGGCGUUACCGGCAGAAGAAGCACCGGCUAACUCCGUGCCAGCAGCCGCGGUAAUAC